rnacentral:rRNA from 1 species
CCUACGGGGGGCAGCAGGGAGGAAUAUUGGUCAAUGGGCGCGAGCCUGAACCAGCCAAGUCGCGUGAGGGAUGACGGCCCUACGGGUUGUAAACCUCUUUUGCCGGGGAGCAACGGGCGCCACGUGUGGCGCCACGGAGAGUACCCGGAGAAAAAGCAUCGGCUAACGCCGUGCCAGCAGCCGCGGUAAUACGGAGGAUGCGAGCGUUAUCGGGAUUUAUUGGGUGUAAAGGGGGCGUAGGCUGUGAGGUAAGUCAGCGGUGAAAUGCCCCCGCUCAACGGGGUGAAGUGCCAUUGAUACUGCCUUGCUGUACUGCGGAUGCCGUGGGCGGAAUGUGUGGU